rnacentral:rRNA from 1 species
UACGAAGGGUGCAAGCGUUACUCGGAAUUACUGGGCGUAAAGCGUGCGUAGGUGGUUUGUUAAGUCUGAUGUGAAAGCCCCGGGCUCAACCUGGGAAUUGCAUUGGAUACUGGCGGGCUAGAGUGCGGUAGAGGGUAGUGGAACUCCCGGUGUAGCAGUGAAAUGCGUAGAGAUCGGGAGGAACAUCUGUGGCGAAGGCGACUGCCUGGACCAGCACUGACACUGAGGCACGAAAGCGUGGGGAGCAAACAGG